AACCUCCGCAAUGCGAGAAAUCGCGACGGGGGGAUCCCAAGUGCCAUUCUUAACGGGAUGGCUUUUCAUUAGUGUAAAGAGCUUUUGGAAUAAGGGCUGGGCAAGACCGGUGCCAGCCGCCGCGGUAACACCGGCAGCUCUAGUGGUAGCAGUUUUUAUUGGGCCUAAAGCGUCCGUAGCCGGUUUAAUAAGUCUCUGGUGAAAUCCUGUAGCUUAACUGUGGGAAUUGCUGGAGAUACUAUUAGACUUGAGACCGGGAGAGGUUAGAGGUACUCCCAGGGUAGAGGUGAAAUUCUGUAAUCCUGGGAGGACCGCCUGUUGCGAAGGCGUCUAACUGGAACGGUUCUGACGGUGAGGGACGAAAGUUAGGGCGCGAACCGGAUUAGAUACCCGGGUAGUCCUAACUGUAAACGAUGCGGACUUGGUGUUGGGGUGGCUUUGAGCUGCUCCAGUGCCGAAGGGAAGCUGUUAAGUCCGCCGCCUGGGAAGUACGGUCGCAAGACUGAAACUUAAAGGAAGU
rnacentral:rRNA from 1 species